rnacentral:tRNA from 1 species
CGAUAUAUAGCUUAAUCGGUUGAGCAAAGUUUUGAUAAAGCGGGGGUUAUAGGUUCAAUUCCUAUUAUAUUGA